AUGGAAGCUUGAAAGACGUGUAUUGUAAAUAUUGCAUAAAAUCCAUGGGACAAUGGAUGAAUGGCAGGAUUGCGGUGCAACUUCUUUCUGCACACACCCUUGCUGCAUCCAGGUUCCUGUAGUGAUGUCUCGGAGUCGUACAUGAUCUCCAGGUCGCAGUUCGGGUGCGACAAAGGGGAAAGAAAAGAUUUCCUUGAGGGCCCCUGUAAGGCAACAAACAAACCCCGAGGAGGGUAGACUGUUGCUUUGAUCAGACCAAAAUAGU